rnacentral:lncRNA from 1 species
GUAGUGGCUGGUGACAACCGGUUUACAGGAGCCCUUCCGGAAGAGCUGCCUGGAAAGGCUGGGCAGGGCAGAGAGCCCAAGUUCACUCACAUCGAGAGGGAGCCUGAGAUCCGCCAGCAAUGGGUGUGAGAGCUGCAGUUAAGUAUAUGACUUUUAUGAGUAUAUGAGUUGUGCAAGAGGCUGACUUUGCCAUCUGCCGGCAAGCUUCAUCAGGCAUGGUCUCCCUAGCCACUAGGGGGCACCCUUCCUCCUGCCGGGAUCUUAAACAGUGGGUUUGGACUAGGCACCCUACCUCUGCCACCUUGAUGCCCAGACUUGUCCAGGUAGCCUCCUAGGACUUGCCCAUCUAGGUGAAAGGAUAUAAGGCCUAGACACCAUUUUCUUUGCCUAGGUGGCUAAGAAAGGACUUGGGAGAGGGUGGGGCCCUGUUUGGAGCUCCUGCCCUCCUCCUUCUCGCCUCCUGCCAGAUGGUCUGUUUUUCAAACUGAAAGGUUUGUCCUACAGCCAACAGGUAACUGGACACCAGAGAAGAGGUGAAGACCUCUCCCCACCUCCUACAGCUUCAGGCUGUUCACAGACUGAAUCCCACCCCUCCCACACCACACCACCGAAAAGAAAGCAACCAGAAACUCAGGCACAGGUUAUAGCAAUUGGACCCACAGAGGAGCUGACAGGGAUCCCUCUUGGUCUGUCCAUUACAGUUUUCAGGCAUUUGACAUUGAAACACAAUGUUGUCAUCUGCAAAGCUCAUGGUCCAGAACUAUGCAGUUGAGUUACAACAAACAAAUAAAGCUUUCAAUGUUUUAAGUUCAGGAGUUUGAGUUGGCUCUUUAUAACUAUUCUUGCCCACAUGUGGCCAACAGGACACACUGGUGUGAAUUUUCUUGGCCUAAACUUUUCCUUGCACCCCCCCCCCCAACCUCCAGGUUCACCUAGCUAGACUCUGAGUCAACAGGUAUGGCGUCAGGGAGAGCCCGGAGAGCCAUCCAUUUAUUGCCCAAGGGUUCUAUCCUUAUUGGGGUGUGUGUUGUUUUGUUUUAAAUUACUUUAGAUUUACAUGUAUGAGUGGUUUUUUUGGCUGCAUUUUAUGUAUGUGUAGCACUUGUGCCUAGUGACAUUGGAGGUCAGAAGGUGUCAGAUCACCCAGACAGAGGGAAGGUUGUGGACCACCAAGACUUCUGCCAGAGUAACAAGAGCUCAUAACCACUGAGCUACGUCCUUUUGUAUUCCCCUCGACACCCCACCACCACCACACACACACACAUUGUAGAUGCCUCCAUGGUCCUUCCAGGCCCUCUUUGUCCUUAGCCUUUACUGUCACCCAGGUUCUGUUCCAUUUCCUACCCCCAGCUCCUAGGCUUCCUAGGACUAGAAUUUAUUGCGUCCACUAAGAGUAGAGGACUUGCAGAGAUGAGCUCCAGCAGGGACAGAGCCAGGUCUGUGCACUGCAGCCCUAGUUCACUCACUCUUGUGACCCACUGAAGGCUUUUACACAGCCUCAUGGUGUUCUCUGAUGUUCUAGAGGAGGGGCAGAGCCAGGCUGCGUCUCUGGAAGACCCACUGUGGGAGUCAGUGAGACCUAGUCCACAGGGGAAGCACCUUGGCACCUCUCCUUCCGGGGUGAGGGGAGGCCUUUCACAAAAGCUGACUACAGGGUCCUUUAAGGCCACAGAGACUGUCUGCCUGCUGCUCCUGCCUGGCAGUAAUGCACCCUCCCAGUGGGACCAUGGCCACCAGUAAACAGAGCCUUCCUUGUGCGGCCUCCAACAGCUGCAGACUGGGCUGGGAGGGCAGGCACCCGAUGCUCCCACAGCCCGUUCUGCCUUGCUUCUCUGCUCCUCUGGCCAGCUCUAUGCACACCCUCUCAUGCUAUAGGUUCCAGGACCUCUUGAUAUACUGGGUCUCCUUUGCCUACUGGCACAGGGGAACUCUUGAUUCAUAGUAAAGACCUAGAGUGUCUUCCCCUGCCAGCUGUGGGCAGCCACUGUCCUUGGUGGGCUUUUGCUAUGUUGUUUGUAUUUACUGCCCAGCUUGGGACCCAAACAUCUCCAAGACACCCAGGAAGCUCUUUGUGUUAAAAUACCGAACUUCUGCUUCCUUCUCAGGUGUGUGCUAUGAGAUUCUAAUAGUUGACAUCUUGGCACCUAAGCUACUCUGUAGAGUCCAGGAUCUUUAACUCAGAAGAUAUUUCUAGGUACUGAGAUAACCUUCAGCAUGCCAAAAAGUGACCUGGUACCUUACAUACAUUUAAACCUCCUGAGGUAUGUAUGGGUCCUGUCAGUGUGGUCACAGAACUCAGCCCCCCCUUCCUGAUCUACCCUUCUGGGAAAGGACAAGACAGUCAGAUCUUUCUGGAGAUCCUGGUCAGUAUAGUAAAUAUGAACACUAGGACUGCGGUUUUUUUUUUUUUGUUUUUGUUUUUGUUUUUGUUUUUUUGAGACAGGGUUUCUCUGUGUAGCCCUGGCUGUCCUGGAACUCACUCUGUAGACGAGGUUGGUCCCAAACUCAGAAAUCCACCUGCUUCUGCCUCCGAGUGCUGGGAUUAAAGGCAUGCGCCACCACUGCCCGGCAGGACUGCAUUUUGUAUAUAGCGACAGAAUGCCACUGCUCAGGAUACAGGACUCUGCUUGUCCUGGUGGGGUUUUUUCCUGUGACAUGGUUGGUAGGUACUUGGAUACCACAACCAACAGGGAUUGCCUAACACCCUUAGUUUUGAAGGUAGUUCAUUCCAAAAGCCAGAAGUGGCUAGACUGAGACAGACCCAUUGUAUAAUAUUCCUUUAAAAAGUUACACAUCAGACAUGAAGACUAAGAACUGUAGUCCUUGCAUUCUGGAGGCUAAGGCAGAAUUCCAGGUUACAGGCCAGACGACUCUGUCUCAUAAGCAAUGGCGUAGAGAAAUUACCAACUAGACCAUUUUGUGGGCAGAAAGAUAUUGGGGAUCAAAAUGCCAAGGUGGGGGGAGCAAAUGGAGAAAAAGGAUUGUUUCAGAACUACUUGCCUUCGAGAGGUAGCUGACUUGGGAGGGAAGGUUAAAGUUAAGGUGAACAGAAAUCACUUUAAGAGACCUGCUCUUCUGGUAAACAGAAACUUUUAAGCUUGUUUACCUGGUCAAGUCCUGUUUAGGACAAUGUCAGCACUACCAUUUUGGGGGUAGGGGUGCUUUGGACCUGACCC